AUUGAACGCUGGCGGCAUGCCUAACACAUGCAAGUCGAGCGAGCGGCGGACGGGUGAGUAAUGUCUAGGAAUGUGCCUGGUAGUGGGGGAUAACUACCGGAAACGGUAGCUAAUACCGCAUACUCUCAGAUGGGCCCAUAUGGGAUUAGCUAGUUGGUGGGGUAACGGCUCACCUAGGCGACGAUCCCUAGCUGGUCUGAGAGGAUGACCAGCCACACUGGGACUGAGACACGGUCCAGACUCCUACGGGAGGCAGCAGUGGGGAAUAUUGCACAAUGGGCGAAAGCCUGAUCCAGCCAUGCCGCGUGUGUGAAGAAGGCCUUCGGGUUGUAAAGCACUUUCAGCGGGGAGGCGUUACCCGCAGAAGAAGCACCGGCUAACUCCGUGCCAGCAGCCGCGGUAAUAC
rnacentral:rRNA from 1 species